rnacentral:rRNA from 1 species
GGGGCCUACGGGACGCAGCAGUAGGGAAUUUUCGUCAAUGGGCGCAAGCCUGAACGAGCGAUGCCGCGUGAGUGAAGAAGGCCUUCGGGUCGUAAAGCUCUGUUGCGGGGGAAAAAAGGCAGCAUCAGGAAAUGGGUGCUGACUGAUGGUGCCCCGCCAGAAAGUCACGGCUAACUACGUGCCAGCAGCCGCGGUAAUACGUAUGUGGCGAGCGUUAUCCGGAAUGAUUGGGCGUAAAGGGUGCGCAUGCGGUCCUGCAAGUCUGGAGGUAAACGCAUGAGCUCAACUCAUGCAUGGCUUUGGCA